rnacentral:tRNA from 2 species
CGGGCCGUAGCAUAGUGGUAGUGUGCGCCCAUGGGGUGGGUGUGGUCCGAGUUCGAUUCUCGGCGGCCCGA